rnacentral:rRNA from 1 species
AUGGCGGAAACAAAACUGCACGGCGAUGUGCAUUUCUGCAACACAUCAGGCCUACAUUUUCCAUUGCCCUGGACUUAUGAACGGAAGAAAAAGCAACAUGAAGUUCCUGUCUGCAUCAAACUGCUUUCACUUAUAUUCUGCCGAAUUUCUUCCUUCUAUGGGACUGUACAUGGGGAUUAUGUACAAGGGUUAUGUCCUCUGCAGGUAGAUUAUCUUAUAGGACAGGCGAAAUGCAACAGAAGAAGCUCCUCCGCUGCUACUCGCCAAACUCCAAGCAAAAAGGACCUUCCACUUUCCUUGCUAAUGGGGCCUCAGUUUGUUCGGAAUCAGAUACAACCAUUUGAUCCAUUAUUGUUCGUGGGCAUCAUAUUUAAAUUUUUUUUUUGGAUUUUGUAA